AGCUCCAAUAGCGUAUAUUAAAGCUGUUGCAGUUAAAAAAUGCGUAGUUGGAUUUCUGGUAGGAGGGUUUGUUCCAUCACUCUGUGUGGGAACUUGUAUCCUCUCCGGCCAUAAUUGGGUGGAUCUUGUCUGACAUUAAGUUGUCAGUCAGGGGAUACCUAUCAUUUACUGUGAAAAAAAUAGAGUGUUCAAAUCAGUCUUAUGCCAUUAAAUACAUUAGCAUGGAAUAAUAAGAUAGGGCCCUGGUACUAUUUUGUUGGAUUAGGUACCGAGGUAAUGAUUAAUAGGGACAGUUGGGGGUAUUUGUAUUCAGUAUUCAGUGUUGAUAUACUUAGACCUACGGAAGACAAAACUACUGCAAAAGCAUUUAUCAAGGAUGUUUUCA
rnacentral:rRNA from 1 species